rnacentral:rRNA from 1 species
CUUGCUGUUUCGCUGACGAGUGGCGGACGGGUGAGUAAUGUCUGGGAAACUGCCUGAUGGAGGGGGAUAACUACUGGAAACGGUAGCUAAUACCGCAUAACGUCGCAAGACCAAAGAGGGGGACCUUCGGGCCUCUUGCCAUCGGAUGUGCCCAGAUGGGAUUAGCUAGUAGGUGGGGUAACGGCUCACCUAGGCGACGAUCCCUAGCUGGUCUGAGAGGAUGACCAGCCACACUGGAACUGAGACACGGUCCAGACUCCUACGGGAGGCAGCAGUGGGGAAUAUUGCACAAUGGGCGCAAGCCUGAUGCAGCCAUGCCGCGUGUAUGAAGAAGGCCUUCGGGUUGUAAAGUACUUUCAGCGGGGAGGAAGGGAGUAAAGUUAAUACCUUUGCUCAUUGACGUUACCCGCAGAAUAAGCACCGGCUAACUCCGUGCCAGCAGCCGCGGUAAUACGGAGGGUGCAAAGCGUUAAUCGGAAUUACUGGGCGUAAAGCGCACGCAGGCGGUUUGUUAAGUCAGAUGUGAAAUUCCCGGGCUCAACCUGGGAACUGCAUCUGAUACUGGCAAGCUUGAAUCUCGUACAGGGGGGUACAAUUCCAUGUGUAGUGUU